rnacentral:rRNA from 2 species
GAGUUUGAUCCUGGCUCAGAUUGAACGCUGGCGGCAUGCUUUACACAUGCAAGUCGAACGGUAACAUGGGUGCUUGCACCUGAUGACGAGUGGCGAACGGGUGAGUAAUACAUCGGAACAUGCCCAAUUGUGGGGGAUAGCUCGGCGAAAGCCGGAUUAAUACCGCAUAAGAUCUACGGAUGAAAGCAGGGGACCUUCGGGCCUUGCGCGAUUGGAGUGGCCGAUGGCAGAUUAGGUAGUUGGUGGGGUAAAGGCCUACCAAGCCUGCGAUCUGUAGCUGGUCUGAGAGGACGACCAGCCACACUGGGACUGAGACACGGCCCAGACUCCUACGGGAGGCAGCAGUGGGGAAUUUUGGACAAUGGGCGCAAGCCUGAUCCAGCAAUGCCGCGUGCAGGACGAAGGCCUUCGGGUUGUAAACUGCUUUUGUACAGAACGAAAAGUCUCUGGUUAAUAUCCUGGGGAUUC